UUCAGCAGACUUAAACGUUCCUCUCUGCCAGCUCUGAAGAGAGCAAUGGAUCUCCCAGCACAGCGCUCAAGCCCUGCUAAGGGACACACUGCCUUCUCAACAUCUAGAAACUUCUUACUUCCACAUGAGGAAUACAAUGUCAUUUGUUGGAUUUUCACAUGACAACAAAAGAAAAUAAUAAACAAGACCUUGCUUGCAUGGAAAAUUCAUUGCCUAUUGUAGGAAAAGGCAGGGAUGUCAUUACACAGAGCAAAGAAAAUAACAGAGGUUAAUCAAUGUUACUGCUAGCUUGCUCUUAUAUAUACUUAUUUUCAUUUCUGAUGCUUUUUUCCUCUCAAGGGUAAAAAAACAAACAUCAAAUCUCUAUAAAUCUCUCAUGCAGGGCACCCAGCUUUCUGCAGCUCUGUCCUUCUUUGGUUUGUAAUCCACACUUUUGAAGCCCGUCUAAGUGCAUUCAUAGACAAGGCCAUCUCUCCCCUUGGCCUUUGACUGUGGGGCAGGGUGUAAAAAGUGGGAGGUGGGUUAUAUGCUUCUAGUUGGGUAAAUGCUAAGCGUUUUUAUGUGGGUUGCAUUUUAUUUUCGCUUUCUAACAACAUAAUUGAACAUUCAGAAAGGGUGAGUAACUUUCCAAAAGUUUCACAGAUACUGAAAGAUAAGUCAGGGUUCAUACUUUGGUCUGUCUGAUCACAAGCCAGACUAAGAUUUGAACUUCUCUGAGACUGUUUCCUCAAAUUUAAAAUCAGAAUCAUGUUAUCUAAUUCACUGGCUGAACCAAGCUCAUUCCUCACCCAUUUUUUAUUGGUACUUCUUAAAGAAUGUGGUCCUCACUCUCUAGGUUCCAUGUUUUGAGCAUAAAAUUCCUAUCCCUGUACCCCAGGCAGAGAGGACUGGACCAGGCUUGGACCUCUGACCUACAAGAUCCAAGGCAUUAGGUUUUCCUGGUUCAUCACCUCCUUCAAUUGUAGAUGCUGCAGAUGCUGCCCUCUCUGUAGAGGUUUAAGUAAACAGGAAAGAAUGUUUAAUGAAAAUAAGGGGAACAAAGAAACUAUGUGGAGUAAAAGCAGAGAUGACACAUCAGGAGGCCACAAAUGAACAAUAAGUGAAACAUUAGUUCCUGGACCUCAAACCUUCAUG
rnacentral:lncRNA from 1 species